AAAACUUUCAACAACGGAUCUCUUGGUUCUGGCAUCGAUGAAGAACGCAGCGAAAUGCGAUAAGUAAUGUGAAUUGCAGAAUUCAGUGAAUCAUCGAAUCUUUGAACGCACAUUGCGCCCGCCAGAAUUCUGGCGGGCAUGCCUGUUCGAGCGUCAUUUCAACCCUCGGUCUCCCUCCGGGAGAGACCGGCGUUGGGG
rnacentral:rRNA from 1 species